rnacentral:tRNA from 1 species
CAGUGCGUAGCUCAGUGGUAGAGCGCAUCCUUGGUGAGGAUGAGGUCGUGGGUUCGAGUCCCACCGCACUUU